rnacentral:rRNA from 1 species
UGGGGAAUAUUGCACAAUGGGCGAAAGCCUGAUGCAGCAACGCCGCGUGCGGGAUGAAGGCCUUCGGGUUGUAAACCGCUUUCACCAGGGACGAAGUUGACGGUACCUGGAGAAGAAGCACCGGCUAACUACGUGCCAGCAGCCGCGGUGAUACGUAGGGUGCGAGCGUUGUCCGGAUUUAUUGGGCGUAAAGAGCUCGUAGGCGGUUUGUUGCGUCGGAAGUGAAAACCCAGGGCUUAACUUUGGGCUUGCUUUCGAUACGGGCAGACUUGAGGAAGGUAGGGGAGAACGGAAUUCCUGGUGGAGCGGUGGAAUGCGCAGAUAUCAGGAGGAACACCGGUGGCGAAGGCGGUUCUCUGGACCUUUCCUGACGCUGAGGAGCGAAAGCGUGGGGAGCAAACAGG